GUGGGUGGGGGCAGCAGUAGGCUGGGAGCAGCCAGCCAGCUGCAGGCAGAGCCUGUGUCCAGCAGGCAGAACUCAGGAGAUCCAGCCAGAGUCCAGCAGGCAGGCAGUGAGCACUGAGAAAGGCAGGAAGCCGGGACAGGGAUGAUGAGAUCCGGGACAAAUGUGGGGGCGAUGCCGUGCACUACCUGUCCUUUCAGCGGCACAUCAUCGGGCUGCUGGUGGUUGUGGGCGUCCUCUCCGUAGGCAUCGUGCUGCCUGUCAACUUCUCAGGGGACCUGCUGGAGAACAAUGCCUACAGCUUUGGGAGAACCACCAUUGCCAACCUGAAAUCAGGGAACAACCUGCUAUGGCUGCACACCUCCUUCGCCUUCCUGUAUCUGCUGCUCACCGUCUACAGCAUGCGUAGACACACCUCCAAGAUGCGCUACAAGGAGGAUGAUCUGGUGAAGCGGACCCUCUUCAUCAAUGGAAUCUCCAAAUAUGCAGAGUCAGAAAAGA
rnacentral:sRNA from 1 species